GAUGAACGCUGGCGGCGUGCCUAAUACAUGCAAGUAGAACGCUGAAGCUUGGUGCUUGCUCCGAGCGUAUGUGUUGCGAACGUGUGAGUAACGCGUAGGUCCCCUGCCUCUUAGCGGGGGAUCACUAUUAGACACGAUCUCUAAUACCGCAUUAGAGUCGACAUCGCAUGAUGUUGACUUGAAAGGUGCAAUUGCAUCACUAAGAGAUGGACCUGCGUUGUAUUAGCUAGUUGGUGAGGUAACGGCUCACCAAGGCGACGAUACAUAGCCGACCUGAGAGGGUGAUCGGCCACACUGGGACUGAGACACGGCCCAGACUCCUACGGGAGGCAGCAGUAGGGAAUCUUCGGCAAUGGGGGCAAGCCUGACCGAGCAACGCCGCGUGAGGGAAGAAGGUUUUCGGAUCGUAAAGCUCUGUUGUAAGAGAAGAACGAGUGUGAGAGUGGAAAGUUCACACUGUGACGGUAACUUACCAGAAAGGGACGGCUAACUACGUG
rnacentral:rRNA from 1 species